CUCAUUUUUCUACUGCUCGUGGAUUUACGCGCACGUUGGAACCGAAGAGAGCUCUGUUGUUGCAAUGUUCAGCCCACAAGAGCUUACUGGUGAAGGAAUGGGACAAGACCCAUCUUUAUGCAAAGCCAGCGUUACAGUAAUGUUCCAGCAUCUCAUAAUCUAUCCUGGGGAAUUCAGCUGCCUCCCAGGGUGAAUACAGGUAUUCCUGAUGACAGUCUGCCUCUAUCUUACAGAGCAGCUUGUUGCUAUAUACCAUUGAAAAGCCUUCAGAGCUGAGAGGUACUACUAACCAAUAACCUGCUUGGCUCAAAGGGCCAGCACCUUCUCUCUAAAGCCCAAGAGGAGUUUGAGGAAAACUAGGUGUCUGUGUUCACUCCAGGCUGAAGUUACAGGUCUGAGCAAAUAAGGUGUAUAAAAAAUGGAAUCUGUCUUGGAGGACAUCAGAAGAUACAAGGGCUUGGUUUUGUUACCCAGGCUGGUUUCAAGGCCAUAGCUUUAAGAGAUCCUCUCACCACAGAUUUCCAAAGUGCUGGGAUUGCAGGUGUGAUUCAUGGCACCCAGACUUUGCUGCCUUUCUUACAUGAUCCAGGCCCAGAACCCAAACUCAGGCACUGUAUAGAUGACCACUUUCGUAAACUACUGACCUAGCUUGUUGCCAAUUGUUGAUUGAACUUCCCAUAACUCCACUUCGUGUCUGUUCCUCUGUAUACAGCCACCUUCUGUUCCCGUCAUGAGCCUUUAGGUCUCCAUUUGCAUAUUGCAAAUACUAUGUUCCAUGUAGGUAGCUCAUUCAGGGCCUUGCUCUUCACUUCAAAAAAGGUUCCCUUGAGGACUGGCUGUCAAUUUGUGUUGCUGUGUUGGUUGUUGAUGAAAAUAAUAAAAUGAUUGAUUACAUAGUCCUGUUUAAAAAAAAAAAAA
rnacentral:lncRNA from 1 species